AGUGUUCAGGAUGGAGAUGGAUAUGUAAAUCUAGAAUUAAAGGAAGGAGCUGGGUGACUCAGGUCUGAGAAUCCUAACUGUGUAAAUGGUAUUUAAAGCUAUGAAGCAGGAUGAUGUCACCAAGCAGGGCGUGUAGACAGAGGAGAGGGAUGAGGGAAGCCCGCCAGCUUCUAGAGGCAGAAGAGGAGCUUCUCCAAGGGACCCAGGAGGAGGAGCCUGCCAGGUAGCAGGAGACACUGCUGAGUGUGGUGUCGCAGGCUGGGGAAGAACAUUUGUCUGGGAUGUCUAGAGCAUUACGUUUAAAAUAGAAGAUUCAAUUUGUUUUUCAUUAUUUCAGGUAGGCAAUCCAAAACAUACUGUGUUUUUUUUUUAUAUCACAAAAUUAUUUCCCCUCAAUGUUUUUUGUUUAUUUAUAUUCAUACUGUGUUUACCUCUACAAAAGGAUGUGAGGCAAUUGGGUGUAAAGUGGCAUUCCAGAUAACUAACUCAUUGGAAUAGAAAAUUAAGAUGAAAUGGAAGGUAGGGAAAGCUAAAGACUAUUUGCGUUAAUGUGCUAUACCUGAUUGCCGUGACAGGAUAUCCCAUUUAACUCACUCUCCCAGUAGCCAGCAUCAAAAGGAACAGGUUAGGUUUUAAAAUCAUCUUCUUCAGAUAGGGGAAUAUUAAAAUUUAAAGGCAACAGAGCAUUUCCUAUACGAAUGCUAGAACUAGAAUUUAUUCUGGGAGUUGUCGUGUACAUAGUGAUUCACAAAAUGUCAAAAAACCCCAGUGUUCAUCAUUAUUUUAUUCCUACAGAAGCAGAAGAUCUUUGAGGUGCUUUCUACUAUCAUCCCUAUUUUACAGAUGAGAAAACUGAGGCUGGGAGGGAGAAAGAUCGUCUACCUCUUAAUCAGUCAGGACAGGCCUGAGGCAAGGGCAGAACUCCUGAUGGCUGAAGACAUUCUAGUCCUGCUGUUGCCUGCAAUUCCCAGCCUGGCGGAUCUUGGCAGAGUUUCUGCUGAGAAGAAGGGAUCAUUACUGGCCUUGUCCACUGUGGCUGUAGACUUGUGA
rnacentral:lncRNA from 1 species